GAGCAUUUACUUGUGUAUUUAUUUAAUCGUGCUUGCGAUCCAUAACAGAUAUAUUUUUAUUUGUGUAUAUAUGAUCCAUUUGUGUGUGUGUGUAUAUAUGAUCCAUUUGUGUGUGUGUGUAUAUAUAUAUAUACGAUCGUAGGUAGCAGCAAAACAGAUUUAUUUUUAUUUGUUGUAUAUAUAUAUGAUCGUAGGUAGCUGCAAAAUGCUAUACACACAAUGUAGAUGCUAUACACACAAUGUAGUGUGUUAACUCCCUCCUUAUUAAGAACCUGGAUUACAUAUAGUGUAGUUGCUCUCCGUGUUUACCACACGGUGAGUCGAUGAUCACUGUAAUCCUUUAUCAUCCGGUUUAUUUUGGUUUUAGCGGACAAGUUGGUACUAACCUCAACUCUGCUUAAUUUAUAUCGCCCACCAUGGCCCAAUAGUUAGGUCGAGGCUGUUGCGUUGCGCCCGUUCAAAGGCCUGCUACCAUGUCUUGAGGUUUCUCUUGAUCUCAAAUUUCCGGGGGCCCAUGAAGCGGAAUUGUUCUGGAUUCUGUUUUUUCUACCGCUUUUUUCAGACAAAAACAGCAGGAAUUUUCCUACGUAGUAUUGUGUAUACUGCUCCACCGAGGCGCAAAGUUUGUGCAUCAAGUGUCAAGAACUGUCUAUAUAUACAAUAUCACUCAAAGAUCACAGUCGGUCACUAACCCCUUACGUUUGGAGACCCUCACUAUGGAUAGUUGGACACGAUGCCUCCAACGAAGCUCUCAUGUUACCCACUUUUGAUUAUGAACAAAUAUAUAAAGUAACCUCUAAAUUUGCAUUUGAAAUAGUCGUAUUUACGAUUAUCAAUAAUAAUAUAAAUUAGCACCAUAAGAAAAAAAAAUAUUGCAUAAAAUAAAAAACGUCUGGCUUUUGAUUUGGUAGGCUUCAAUCAUUAUUGAGGUAAGGGUAGCAUAACAAGCCAACUGUAUUUUUUCUAUUUUUUAGUUAUGUAAUCUUAUUUAUCAUAGUCUUCUUUUUUUUUUUUUGAGAAUUACACAAAAUUGUUUGAGACCUAAUUAACUUCAAAACGAGGUUAACAAGUUUAGCCAAAUGAGCUGAACCAAAGUCGAAAGUCAUUCAAAAACAACUCUUUAUUUUAGAAGAAAAACGAUCAAUAUCAGAGCAAAUUUUAAAAUGAGCCAUCGAGCUAUAACGACCUUCUUUUGUCCAGCCCUUUUAAGGCCACAUGAAAAGGCUCCUAGUUCGUUGGCAUGCUUGACUCAGCUCACCUGGACUCAUUAUUUUUUGAGUUCGUUGGUGCAUGAGAAAUGUGGCAGGGGAGAGAGCAGAGGUAGGGCAAGGUUUGAUCUCAAAGAAAAAAAAGGUAGGGCAAGGUUCUUUUUAGUCACGCACUAGUGAGUCCAGUACUUCGCUCUCAGCCACUUUCCUAUUCUGCUAUGAAGCAUUUUUUCCCUUUGCCAUUGAUUUUGUGUUUCAACAUGUCCCCUUUCACCUACGGUUCAUUUAGGGGUGUUUGGUUAGCGAUGUCAGGUAUUGUAGCAUUUUCGUUUUAUUUAAUAAUUAAUGUUUAGUCAUAGAUUAAUUAGGCUUAAAAAUUUACCUCGCAAAUUAUUCUCCAGUUGUAUUUUUAGUUUUGUAAAUAGUCUGUAUUUAACACUUUAUGCAUGUAUCCAAACAUUCGAUGUGCUAGGUGUUAACGUUUAACACCCUGAACCAAACAGGGCCUUAGGCUACGCUGGCAGUUAAUAUGUAGCCUUAAGACUGUCUCUAACGACCAUUUCCCAAAACACAAGACCCAUUACAAGUUUAGGUAGGGCCAUAGGCAAAGGGUUUCAUACUCAUUUUUGGUCUUCUCCAACAAUAAGACCUAAAAGAGAACCCUUCCUUUAAAUGGGUCUCAAAGAGAUAGGAUAUUCAUAUUUGGGUUAGAGAAAAAUUCACUGGUGGUCCCUCAACUUGGCUCAAAGUGUCAUCUAGGUCCUUAAACUUUUAAAGUGAUAUCUAUGGUUCUCUAAACUUGGCAGAUGGUGUCAUUCAAGUCCUUAAACUUUCAAAGUGAUCAUCACAGGUCUUAAAACUUGGCAAAAAGUGUCAUCUAAGUCCCAAAACUUGACCGACAAUAUCAUUCUAGUCCAAAUAUGAUUUAACCC
rnacentral:lncRNA from 1 species